AUCCAGAUGACGAGUCCCGAAUGGGACGAAAUGCUCAUCCUGACUGGAU
rfam:Trichobilharzia regenti genome assembly, scaffold: TRE_scaffold0001190